rnacentral:rRNA from 1 species
UUAGGAUCUCAACUGCUAGGAAUCAUAAAAGGGAUAACCAUAUUAAAGUAUGGCUAAUACCUGAAUAUGAAGCUACUUCGGUAGUGGGCGGAAGGGGCGACUGAGUUCCCCCUUCCAUGAGAGAAGAUGGCUUGCCAUCGUCUUUCGGUAAACUGGUUCUGGGUGUGCCCUUGUGGCACUCAUUCAGGAUGCGUUUCGGCGUAUUCUGAGACACUAGUGGUCGAGGAGAAGACUUUCUUAACAAUUAGUUAUGUUGCUAAGAUAGAGACUUAGCAAGACUAUAAUUGUUACGAGAAAUUAGCGUUUGAUUUCGGAGAGAAAGCCUUACAAACAGCUAUCACAUCUAAGGAAGGCAGCAGGCGCGCAAAUUACCCAAUGAGGACAUCUUGAGGUAGUGACAAGACAUAUUGACCUUACCGGUACAACCGGGAAGGGUAAGUGGUAAAACACUUUUGAAAUGAUCACAUUUUAAAGCCAUGUGAGAGUAGCGAGUAGAGGAAGAGUCUGGUGCCAGCACCCGCGGUAAUUCCAGCUCUACUAGUCUAUAUUAAUAUUGUUGUAUUUAAAACGUUCGUAGCUAAUUCAAGGGCUCAUUCUAUGAAGUCGGAGCUAAGUAAUGUACAAAGCUCUGCGCAAGCAGGGGGGCGUAUGGCACAAGCCGCACUUCGGUGUUUUGCUUUCUUCUUUAGCGAAAUCUUGGACGAAGGUUCCGAAUGGAUCCGGAAGCCUUGGGAUCGUGACGGCAUAGGAUGAGUCUGCUUCGCGAUUGUGAGUAAAUCAGUACGCUUAAAGUAGGCAUUGUGGCAGUUCCUUAGGUUCUGCGUUUGCUCGUAUGAUUUAGCAUGAUAUCGCAACGAAGAUACUAACCCUUCGGGGAUAGUGUUGUUCACAAUGGGAUAGGUUGAAGUGACAGGUAUUGAUGGGAUAGAGGUGAAAUUCAAUAACCCCGUUGAGACCAACCAAGGCGAAAGCAUGUCACGACCACCUCUUCGUCAGUGAGGAACUAACGUUAAGGGAUCAAAGAUGAUUAGAUACCGUUGUAGUCUUGACCUUAAACUAUGUCAACAGAGAAUUACAAGGAAACCACUAUGAUUUUUGUAGGACUCAAAGGAAACUUAAAGUGUCUCGAUUAUAGGGGGAGUAUUAUCGCAAGAUUGAAACUUAAAAGAAUUGACGGAAAAGCACCACCAGGCGUGGAAUCUGCGGCUUAAUUCGACUCAACACGGGGAACCUUACCAAGUUAGGACACAAAUAGGAUUGACAGGUUAAAGACCUUUCUUGAUUUUGUGGAAGGUGGUGCAUGGCCAUUCUUAGUUCGUGGAGUGAUUUGUCUUGUUGAUUCAGAUAACGAGCGAGACCUCUACCCACUAAUUAAGCGCAUAGCUUGACUCUACGGAGGAGAGCCCAGCUAUCUUCGGAUAGUAUGCAAUACUUUUUAAGUAGCUUUCUUUUAGGGGUAUCACUAGACGUUAUAAGUCAGGUGAAAGGAGAGGCAAUAAUAGGUCUGUUAUGCCCUUAGAUAUCUUGGGAUGCACGCGUAUUACAAUGAGUGACACACUGGGUAAAAACGUAGCAUGUUUAUCAUGUUGCAACCAGCUCUUAGCGGAGUAGGAAAACCGACAAUGUCACUCAUGGUAAGGAUCGGGGCUUGCAAAUGCCCCGUGAAUCAGGAAUGCCUAGUAAUCCCGUUUCAGCAAAUCGCAAUGAUUAUGUCCCUGCUUUUUGUACACACCGCCCGUCGCAUCAAGGAACACGGUAGAAACCAUGAAGUGCAUGGAGUUGGCCUUCGGGAAGGCGAAGUGCAAUGA